ACAAUAACGUUUGGACCGUCGGUAUACCGAGCAAUAUCACCCGCUCGAUGGAAGAUUUUCCCUUUGUCGUAUAUC
rnacentral:pre_miRNA from 1 species